GGCUCAGAAUCAACGCUGGCGGCGUGCCUAACACAUGCAAGUCGAACGAGAAAGGGGAGCAAUCCCUGAGUACAGUGGCGACCGGGUGAGUAACACGUGACUACCUGCCCUUGAGUGGGGGAUAACCCCGGGAAACCGGGGCUAAUACCGCAUAAUAUCGAGAGAUCAAAGGAGCAAUCCGCUCUUGGAGGGGGUCGCGGCUGAUUAGCUAGUUGGUGAGGUAACGGCUCACCAAGGCGAAGAUCGGUAUCCGGCCUGAGAGGGCGCACGGACACACUGGAACUGAAACACGGUCCAGACUCCUACGGGAGGCAGCAGUGGGGAAUUUUGCGCAAUGGGGGAAACCCUGACGCAGCAACGCCGCGUGGAGGAUGAAGCCCUUUGGGGCGUAAACUCCUUUCGACCGGGAAGAUACUGACGGUACCGGUGGAAGAAGCACCGGCUAACUCUGUGCCAGCAGCCGCGGUAAUACAGAGGGUGCGAGCGUUGUUCGGAAUUAUUGGGCGUAAAGGGCGCGUAGGCGGUGCGGUAAGUCACCUGUGAAACCUCUGGGCUUAACUCAGAGCCUGCAGGCGAAACUGCCGUGCUGGAGUAUGGGAGAGGUGCGUGGAAUUCCCGGUGUAGCGGUGAAAUGCGUAGAUAUCGGGAGGAACACCUGUGGCGAAAGCGGCGCACUGGACCAUAACUGACGCUGAGGCGCGAAAGCUAGGGGAGCAAACAGGAUUAGAUACCCUGGUAGUCCUAGCCCUAAACGAUGAUUGCUUGGUGUAGCAGGUACCCAAUCCUGCUGUGCCGCAGCUAACGCGAUAAGCAAUCCGCCUGGGGAGUACGGUCGCAAGGCUGAAACUCAAAGGA
rnacentral:rRNA from 1 species